GCAGCUGUAGCCGAGUGUAAGGCGAUGGACUAGAAAAAUCCAUUGGGGUCUCCCCACGCGUAGGUUCGAAUCCACCACCGGCUGCG